UACGAAGGGGGCUAGCGUUGCUCGGAAUGACUGGGCGUAAAGGGCGCGUAGGCGGCGAUCACAGUCAGAUGUGAAAUUCCUGGGCUUAACCUGGGGGGCUGCAUUUGAUACGUGGUUGCUUGAGUGGGGAAGAGGGUCGUGGAAUUCCCAGUGUAGAGGUGAAAUUCGUAGAUAUUGGGAAGAACACCGGUGGCGAAGGCGGCGACCUGGUCCUUGACUGACGCUGAGGCGCGAAAGCGUGGGGAGCAAACAGG
rnacentral:rRNA from 1 species